rnacentral:rRNA from 1 species
AUUGAACGCUGGCGGCAUGCCUUACACAUGCAAGUCGAACGGCAGCACGGGUGCUUGCACCUGGUGGCGAGUGGCGAACGGGUGAGUAAUACAUCGGAACGUACCUUAUCGUGGGGGAUAACGCAGCGAAAGCUGUGCUAAUACCGCAUACGCCCUGAGGGGGAAAGCGGGGGAUCGAAAGACCUCGCGCGAUUAGAGCGGCCGAUGCCUGAUUAGCUUGUUGGUGGGGUAAAAGCCCACCAAGGCGACGAUCAGUAGCUGGUCUGAGAGGAAGAUCGGCCACACUGGGACUGAGACCCGGCCCAGACUCCUACGGGAGGCAGCAGUGGGGAAUUUUGGACAAUGGGGGCAACCCUGAUCCAGCAAUGCCGCGUGAGUGAAGAAGGCCUUCGGGUUGUAAAGCUCUUUUGUCAGGGAAGAAACACCGGCUCUAACACAGUCCGGGAAUGACGGUACCUGAAGAAUAAGCACCGGCUAACUACGUGCCAGCCGCCGCCGUAA